rnacentral:rRNA from 1 species
CGCUGGCGGCAUGCCUUACACAUGCAAGUCGAACGGUAACAGGUCUUCGGACGCUGACGAGUGGCGAACGGGUGAGUAAUACAUCGGAACGUGCCCAGUCGUGGGGGAUAACUACUCGAAAGAGUAGCUAAUACCGCAUACGAUCUGAGGAUGAAAGCGGGGGACCUUCGGGCCUCGCGCGAUUGGAGCGGCCGAUGGCAGAUUAGGUAGUUGGUGGGAUAAAAGCUUACCAAGCCGACGAUCUGUAGCUGGUCUGAGAGGACGACCAGCCACACUGGGACUGAGACACGGCCCAGACUCCUACGGGAGGCAGCAGUGGGGAAUUUUGGACAAUGGGCGAAAGCCUGAUCCAGCAAUGCCGCGUGCAGGAUGAAGGCCUUCGGGUUGUAAACUGCUUUUGUACGGAACGAAAAAGCUUCUCCUAAUACGAGAGGCCCAUGACGGUACCGUAAGAAUAAGCACCGGCUAACUACGUGCCAGCAGCCGCGGUAAUACGUAGGGUGCGAGCGUUAAUCGGAAUUACUGGGCGUAAAGCGUGCGCAGGCGGUUAUGUAAGACAGAUGUGAAAUCCCCGGGCUCAACCUGGGAACUGCAUUUGUGACUGCAUGGCUAGAGUACGGUAGAGGGGGAUGGAAUUCCGCGUGUAGCAGUGAAAUGCGUAGAUAUGCGGAGGAACACCGAUGGCGAAGGCAAUCCCCUGGACCUGUACUGACGCUCAUGCACGAAAGCGUGG